UACGUAGGGGGCAAGCGUUAUCCGGAUUUACUGGGUGUAAAGGGAGCGUAGACGGCAUUGCAAGUCCGGAGUGAAAGCCCACGGCCCAACCGUGGGACUGCUCUGGAAACUGUAGAGCUGGAGUGCGGGAGGGGCAGGCGGAAUUCCUAGUGUAGCGGUGAAAUGCGUAGAUCUUAGGAGGAACACCGGCGGCGAAGGCGGCCUGCUGGACCGUAACUGACGUUGAGGCUCGAAAGCGUGGGGAGCAAACAGG
rnacentral:rRNA from 1 species